CGGGCGGUAGACUCCGUCCAAGGCUAAAUACAGGCGAGAGACCGAUAGCGAACAAGUACCGCGAGGGAAAGAUGAAAAGGACUUUGAAAAGAGAGUCAAAGAGUGCUUGAAAUUGCCGGGAGGGAAGCGGAUGAGGGCCGGCGAUGCGCCCCGGCCGUAUGCGGAACGGCUCUUGCUGGUCCGCCGCUCGGCUCGGGGUGUGGACUGUUGUCGGCCGCGUCGGCGGCCAAAGCCCGGGGGCCCUAGGUGCC
rnacentral:ncRNA from 1 species